GGGUUGUGAGGUUAAGCGACUAAGCGUACACGGUGGAUGCCCUGGCAGUCAGAGGCGAUGAAGGACGUGCUAAUCUGCGAUAAGCGCCGGUAAGGUGAUAUGAACCGUUAUAACCGGCGAUUUCCGAAUGGGGAAACCCAGUGUGAUUCGUCACACUAUCAUUAACUGAAUCCAUAGGUUAAUGAGGCGAACCGGGGGAACUGAAACAUCUAAGUACCCCGAGGAAAAGAAAUCAACCGAGAUUCCCCCAGUAGCGGCGAGCGAACGGGGAGGAGCCCAGAGCCUGAAUCAGCAUGUGUGUUAGUGGAAGCGUCUGGAAAGGCGCGCGAUACAGGGUGACAGCCCCGUACACAAAAGCGCAUGUGCUGUGAGCUCGAUGAGUAGGGCGGGACACGUGGUAUCCUGUCUGAAUAUGGGGGGACCAUCCUCCAAGGCUAAAUACUCCUGACUGACCGAUAGUGAACCAGUACCGUGAGGGAAAGGCGAAAAGAACCCCGGCGAGGGGAGUGAAAAAGAACCUGAAACCGUGUACGUACAAGCAGUGGGAGCACAGGUUUACCUGUGUGACUGCGUACCUUUUGUAUAAUGGGUCAGCGACUUAUAUUCUGUAGCAAGGUUAACCGUAUAGGGGAGCCGUAGGGAAACCGAGUCUUAACCGGGCGUUAAGUUGCAGGGUAUAGACCCGAAACCCGGUGAUCUAGCCAUGGGCAGGUUGAAGGUUGGGUAACACUAACUGGAGGACCGAACCGACUAAUGUUGAAAAAUUAGCGGAUGACCUGUGGCUGGGGGUGAAAGGCCAAUCAAACCGGGAGAUAGCUGGUUCUCCCCGAAAGCUAUUUAGGUAGCGCCUCGUGAAUUCAUCUCCGGGGGUAGAGCACUGUUUCGGCUAGGGGGCCAUCCCGGCUUACCAACCCGAUGCAAACUGCGAAUACCGGAGAAUGUUAUCACGGGAGACACACGGCGGGUGCUAACGUCCGUCGUGAAGAGGGAAACAACCCAGACCGCCAGCUAAGGUCCCAAAGUCAUGGUUAAGUGGGAAACGAUGUGGGAAGGCCCAGACAGCCAGGAUGUUGGCUUAGAAGCAGCCAUCAUUUAAAGAAAGCGUAAUAGCUCACUGGUCGAGUCGGCCUGCGCGGAAGAUGUAACGGGGCUAAACCAUGCACCGAAGCUGCGGCAGCGACACUGUGUGUUGUUGGGUAGGGGAGCGUUCUGUAAGCCUGUGAAGGUGGCCUGUGAGGGUUGCUGGAGGUAUCAGAAGUGCGAAUGCUGACAUAAGUAACGAUAAAGCGGGUGAAAAGCCCGCUCGCCGGAAGACCAAGGGUUCCUGUCCAACGUUAAUCGGGGCAGGGUGAGUCGACCCCUAAGGCGAGGCCGAAAGGCGUAGUCGAUGGGAAACGGGUUAAUAUUCCCGUACUUGGUGUUACUGCGAAGGGGGGACGGAGAAGGCUAUGUUGGCCGGGCGACGGUUGUCCCGGUUUAAGCGUGUAGGUGUGUGUUCCAGGUAAAUCCGGUUCACUUUAACACUGAGGCGUGACGACGAGGCACUACGGUGCUGAAGCAACAAAUGCCCUGCUUCCAGGAAAAGCCUCUAAGCAUCAGGUAACAUCAAAUC
rnacentral:rRNA from 1 species